rnacentral:rRNA from 1 species
UACGUAGGGUGCAAGCGUUAUCCGGAAUUAUUGCGCGUAAAGAGCUCGUAGGCGGUUUGUCGCGUCUGCUGUGAAAACUGGAGGCUCAACCUCCAGCCUGCAGUGGGUACGGGCAGACUAGAGUGCGGUAGGGGAGAUUGGAAUUCCUGGUGUAGCGGUGGAAUGCGCAGAUAUCAGGAGGAACACCGAUGGCGAAGGCAGAUCUCUGGGCCGUAACUGACGCUGAGGAGCGAAAGCAUGGGGAGCGAACAGG